CUGGGGUUCCCAAGGCUGCAGCCAAUCUGGGCCCUUUAUAAGGAGUGAAGCGCGGCUCCCUCAGUCAGCAGCUCAGCUCCCGGCUCAGAAUGAGGCUCCACCUUCUCCUGCUUGCGUUCCUCUUCGUGUUCCUGAUGCCUGUCCCAGGUUUUGCUCGGCUUGCUGGUCCUAGUUGCAACGAGAAAGGUGGAAUCUGCAUGGCAUUUCGUUGCUCUGGAGGUAGACGACCAAUAGGCGGCUGUCGCGUCCCAGGAAUCAAAUGCUGCAGAAUAUAGCAAUUGAAGAUGAAGAAGCUGCUGUCACUGACGAUGCCUGAAGCAUGUCCUUCACAAAGAUGUGACAUUUAAAUAAAAUUAACUCACAUUAGA